CACAAAAUGACUCUCGCAACGGAUAUCUCGGCUCUUGCAUCGAUGAAGAACGUAGCGAAAUGCGAUACUUAGUGUGAAUUGUAGAAUCCCGUGAACCAUCAAGUCUUUGAACGCAAGUUGCGCCCGAAGUCAUCAAGCUGAGGGCACGCCUGCCUAGGUGUCACA
rnacentral:rRNA from 1 species